rnacentral:rRNA from 1 species
GAAUAUUGGACAAUGGGGGCAACCCUGAUCCAGCAAUGCCGCGUGUGUGAAGAAGGCCUGCGGGUUGUAAAGCACUUUCAGUAGAGAAGAAAAGCCUAAGGUUAAUAACCUUGAGUCUUGACGUAACCUACAGAAGAAGCACCGGCUAACUCCGUGCCAGCCGCCGCGGUAAUACGGAGGGUGCAAGCGUUAAUCGGAAUUACUGGGCGUAAAGCGUGCGCAGGCGGCCUUUUAAGCCAGAUGUGAAAUCCCCGGGCUUAACCUGGGAAUUGCAUUUGGGACUGGAAGGCUAGAGUGUGGCAGAGGGGGGUGGAAUUUCCGGUGUAGCAGUGAAAUGCGUAGAUAUCGGAAGGAGCACCGAUGGCGAAGGCAGCCCCCUGGGCUAACACUGACGCUCAGGCACGAAAGCGUGGGGAGCAAACAGG